CCCUGGCUAUUCCCUCUUUUGAUCACAACCAACAUCGUUAUCAUCUUCAUUAGAACCAAACCUUCAUUUUCGUCGAAGAAGAACCAGCAGAUGAACUGUUUCUUCUCCAUUUUUGUUUCAAUUUUAUGAAGUAAACCCUAGAUUCAGUUUGUUUUUCUUCCUCUUCAAAAUCUCUAACCCGAUUCUAAUCUAAGUUGAUAGAUGCUCACCAUGUUAUAAUCUAGAUUACCCAUAGCAUGUUUUCGUUCUCAAAUCAUCUACGAUUUAUAAAUUUUCGACCUAACGAGGGAAACUAGAGUUAAUCUAUUGCAAGUGUUUUUAUCUGUUAUUGUGGGUGUUAUUGGCACGAGAUUUCCCCCAAAAAUUCCUUCUCAUUUUUCAGAAGAUUUCUUUAUAAACCCAGUUUAACAGUCAUUAACUCUUUCAGGGGAGAGAUAUGAUAGGUAGAGAAAGAACUGGUACAUGGAGAAAAUCAUGAAAUUUAAUGAGGCAUAUGGAACCAGGAUGAGAUGAUCAAGUUAGGCAGGCUCUCUGAAUCCUACAAGUGAAUUGGAGAGUGUUUUGGACGAACAAUCAAGGAAAAGGGGUUUGGAUCAUUGUGGAGAGGAAACACAUCUAAUGUCAUCCGUUUCUUCCCUACUCAGGUUGGAUCAUAUGUGUUGUCAAUCGAAAGAGUAAAAGGAGGCAGAUUUCGUCUACUCAAUUUAUGAGAAGAAUUCAUCCUCCUGCUGCAGAAGAUUAUCUAAGCUACAAAGAGAAAUCAAAUAUCCAAACAAUGCAACUUAAUGAAGAAGAGGAAUCACUUGAAAAUGGAGGUAGAAGAACGGAAAGCAGGGAACCCAGGAAGAGGAGGCUGUUGAGGUCGAUGCUGAUUUUACAAAUGGCGUUGUACUUGUAAACAAUAAUGAAGUUGAAAAAGAGUGGGGUAUGACUAAUGAAGGAAACUUAUCAUCCUAAAAACUAUUGGUUCGGCUAAAUAGGUCGCACAUAUGAGCAAUAAGUGCCACUAUUUACAAGGAUGGUUAUGAAAAAACAAGAAGCUAUAUUUUUCUGAAUGAUGUUGAGCUUGUCUCCAGGUCUGGUGCCUUUAAGAUUGUAUCUACUACUGCUAUCACACUUAGAAAAUAUUUAUAUACUUGUCAUUCUUUUGAUACUGCAUAGAAUUUGUAUGUCCAUGGAACUUAAGAAAUACUUCUAGCUAUAACUUGUAACUUAAGAAACUUACAUGUACUGCGUAAGUUGUUGUUCUUUGUCA